UCUUUACGUAAGAGCGAUUGACAUCUUAAAAUUAUACGCCGCUCUGAGAAUGAAUGUGUGUUUUCUGACCCUCAAGUGCUUCAGACACUGAGAAUGAAUGUGUGUUUUCUGAUCCUCAAGUGCUCGACUUCUAUAUUAAUUCGAAAGGAGUUAAGAUCAAGUAGAUUGUUGAACCUCAGUGAACUAGUUAAUGCCCUCUGUGAUCAUUUAUUCCCAUUUUGCUUAGUCUGCCUAU